rnacentral:misc_RNA from 1 species
CCGCACGCGCCAUCACCAACUGCGUGCGUGUACACAAACCAAGCCCCGCACCAAAGACAAGCACGCAGGCAAGCAUCAGAAGAAAACGAAAAAGAAAACGCUCAGCAGCGUUCGACACGAACCCUGGCGUGAGGCGAGGCGUGCUGCAGGAUCUUUUUGGCGUGACUGUGCGUGUGCGUGUGUGUGUGUGUGUGAUUGCCACAAAGCAUUUCGCCUCCUUCCAUUUUUGUGUGGCCUCAAAAAGAGAGUAGAGCACAUCGGACUUCUUUUUUUAGUCUGUUGUUCUUGUGUGAUCUGGAGGACGUUCGAGCACAGCCACACACGCGUCUGCCCGAUCUCUCGUCCUACCUGCUGAGUGCGAGUGAGGCUCCAUUUCUCUUCCUCUUCUUCCCCUCUUUUUGUGUUUGUAGUCUUCUCUCAUUCUCUUUCCCACCUUCUUCAGGAGUGAUGGACCCGUUAUGCUCACCAUCCGCCGUUAGCACUAACGGAACGCCUCGGACCUCGGUGGUGAACACCUCCUCAACGACGUCCGUCGUCGCUUCACCAGCACGCCCGAAGUUAAGCCGCAGCGUGAAGUUUGAUCCCACUAUCGGCGGCGAUGUCGGCGGUCUGCUGCACAGCAGUGAUCUGAGCCUUGACACGUCGUUUGUUCGCGGCGCAGGUGAUGAUGCUGAUGCUCGCGAGCACUAUGGCGGGCGCGGUAGAGGUGAUGAGGCAGUGAAUGGCUCUCCGUUGUAUUCGUGCGAUGUUUUGCACGAUCACGAGGAGCUGCUACCCUUUCAACUCACCCGCGAAGACGUGGCUGCCGCCUUCGAGUUUCUCGACGUGAACGGCAGCGGCCUGCUCACCAUGGGAAACCUCAAGCACCGUCUCUCCGCCUUCUACCCACACCUGACAAGCAAAGAGUACAAAUUUCUCGUUGAAGACCCCAGCGGCUCCACAGGCGGCGGCGGUGCUGCAUCCAGUGCGGCGAGGUCCGGCGCAGCAGCGCGGCACGGUGGUGCUGCUGACGGUUGCGGUAGCAGCACCCGCGGGCCCACAACCUCGUCACUUGCCCUGGCCGCCUCAUCGGCGCGUCCCUCGAACUUAUCCGUCGACGAAGGCGGCGAUACGGCUCAUAUCGAUGGCGCUUUGCCAGGCGAAGGGGUUGCCAGCGGUGCGGGAGGGUCGCACACAGCCGGCGCGCGCGCCGGCCUCGACGUCGAUCAGCUGUGGGACCUCAUCAACUCAUUUCAGCAGCUCCAGCGGACCUUUGGCGCCGCUCAAGCCGGCCAGGCAGAAGGGCAAAAUGCACAAAACACGCGCUCAGCAUUCAACGCUAGCUUCGACGCGUACCUCGUCAGCGCGCACGGAAACCAAGGCAUCCGGAGCGCAGACAUCGGCUUCGACGCCGUCGGCGAAGCCUUCCGCAUCUACGACCCUCACAACACGCACUACGUGGAGGAGGAAGUCCUCUCCUGCAUCAUGGCGCGCGUCGGGUUCGGCGAGCUGACCGAAGAGGAGCUUGCAGUUCUGGUGAGCACGGCCGACUUCGACGGCGACGGCCGCAUCAGCCUCGAGGACUUCCGCCGCUUGGUCAGCAUGAAAGGUCGCUUCAAAAAGUGAAGGUAUGGCUCUACGGGGUAGUGUUGGUGGUGGUGCAGAACACAGGCGAUGCACAGGUGCCAAGCAGUGAGGGGGGGGGAGGUUGGAAGUCAUUCGCCCGCGCAACGUAACGCCUGAGCCCCUCAAUAGGCACUUCCCCUCCCUCGGCCCUGCUCUAUUCUCUGCUCUCUUCUGCAGCCUCCGGGGCGGAUAUCGAUGUUCUUUUUUUUUCGCAGGCGAAGGUGCAUGUUGUGUGGAUGUGUUUGCCUCUCUCCUCACUGUCGCCAUCUCCCCUUCCUUUCCCAUUUCUCGUCCGGCACGUCUUUGGCGGAGCUCUGAGAGCUAGGGGGAGUGAAAGAGGCUCGAGGAGGGCAUCGAUAAGCGCCUCCUUUUUCUCUUUUCUUUCGUUUUUCGAUGUACAGGGAGCGUCUAGCCUAUUGGAGCUUUCAUUGUCGUGCCAGCCUCGGCUUGCUGUCUUUCGUCCGGUGCCCCCACCUGUCUUGCUCUUAUACCGUCGCCAUUCUUUCCACUUGUAUCAAGAAGCAAAAAUGCAUAAAAAAGCCGAAAGUGAGCUCGAGACGAGGACCUUUGAUGAGGGCCGUGAGGGAUGCACAAGUGUGUGCGCUUGUGCGAGGCCGAUGUAUUCGAGCAUCGACAGCUGCCCUCCUGCUUCCUCUAUUUUGAAAGGCGAACUCGAGCUAUAAUGGACGUACUAGCCCUCCCGCACGUGUGCGUGCAACGGCAGACACCAUCCUCGCUCCAUUCACGCACCCUGGCUCUCCGCGCCUUUGUGUGCCCUUUCCUUUCUGCCCCUCUUUCCUCAUGUGUCCCGCGUGGCCGCCUCCCUUUCCGUUUCCGUUUGCUACGCGCCAGGUCUC